GAUGAACGCUGGCGGCGUGCCUAAUACAUGCAAGUCGAGCGAACAGACGAGGAGCUUACUCCUCUGACGUUAGCGGCGGACGGGUGAGUAACACGUGGAUAACCUACCUAUAAGACUGGGAUAACUUCGGGAAACCGGAGCUAAUACCGGAUAACAUGUUGAACCGCAUGGUUCAACAGUGAAAGACGGUCUUGCUGUCACUUAUAGAUGGAUCCGCGUCGCAUUAGCUAGUUGGUAAGGUAACGGCUUACCAAGGCAACGAUGCGUAGCCGACCUGAGAGGGUGAUCGGCCACACUGGAACUGAGACACGGUCCAGACUCCUACGGGAGGCAGCAGUAGGGAAUCUUCCGCAAUGGGCGAAAGCCUGACGGAGCAACGCCGCGUGAGUGGAGAAGGUCUUCGGAUCGUAAAACUCUGUUAUUAGGGAAGAACAAAUGUGUAAGUAACUAUGCACGUCUUGACGGUACCUAAUCAGAAAGCCACGGCUAACUACGUG
rnacentral:rRNA from 1 species